UUACCAAAUGAUACGAUGUUUUCACUCUUCACUCUUCAGACAGCUGAUGGCGUCAAUGUUCUUCUCCAAGGUUACUUAACAACAGGACACUCACUGUUGAAAAUGGGUUUUCCUCUCAGGUCUUUCGGCAUUUCUGUUUCGGCUUUCCUCCUGAUUGGGAAGAAUGUGGAACCAAGUUUCUGAAUAGUAACUGUGAAACGCGGCAGAGCCUCCGGUGUCUCAAAAUGAAUGCCGGCCUAUUUUCUUAUCAUUGCCAGUAGAUGAUGGUGUUAAUAAUUUGAAGAAUGAUGACUCAAAGAAUCUUUCACCACUAUCGAGAUGUCGUGUAAAUGAUGUAAGUUGGGUGAAAGAUAGUGUGGUGGUACCAGCAAAACCUUCUGGUCACCAUGUGGAUGUGGCACUAUCUUCUGAAAAGAUAGGCAGCAAGAAAAGCAAGACCAGGUCCUUUGGAAAGUUGAUGGCUAAAAGGUCAAGUAGUUUAGAAAGAAUCAGCUUCAAGAAUGAUGCAUCGGGGGAAUGCUCAGCACUCACGGAUUAUAAUGUGGGCAAUAUCACUAAAUCAAACUUUGACCAGACACUGUCUGUUAGAACUUCAGGUGUGGUACUGGCUGUAUCCUUAGAAGUGAUCUCGAGUUCAAAGUAAAAGAAAAGGGAAAAUGAGGGAAACCAGGAUGGACUGAAGAGAAGUGAUUUCUCAAUGCCAUCUUUGCCUCAAGGCCCUCAGGUUAUGCUAAGAUGCAUUGAAAAUAAUACUACACCAGGGCCGUCUCUUUCUAGAUCUCCGACUCGGGGAGAUUCUGAUAUUUUAAAUCAAUCUGAUAAAUGUCUCGUGGAAAACUCUGUGUUUUCCAGCAUGCGGUCAGGUGCGGAAGCAAAUAUCAUUAGUCCAUCCAUGGAAGAAACAGAGACAUUGGAUGCUAAUCUCAUUGAUUCUGGACAUAGGAAAAGCACUGCCUCUGUGACAAAUCUGAUAAAUAUACCGAUACAGAAAUCAGUCUCUGGACAUUCAGUGAGGUACAAAGCCAAAAGGUUGAAAUCAGUUGAAGGUAAACCGAAGAGAAAUUCAGGCACAACUCUUGAUAUAGCAGAGGCAAUGUUGAGAGCUUCAAGAAAGAUGAAUACACUGUCAGGAAAUUCAAAAAGUAAAGAGUAGAAAGAAACAAUAGCUGUUGAGAAAGGAGGUUUGUCCAUGAAGCAAGCUAGAAGGAAAGUUAUUUUUGAUGCCGAUGGGUUGAAUCUAAGACUCAGAAGAGCAAAAGAGAGUAAAUAAAACCACAGUUUCCUUUAUCUUGGGGCAAUCAAUAAUCACCAUGGAGCAAAGCCAUUAGUUUGGGAGGGGAGGAAUGGAGAGCUUAUGGAAAGAUGGUGAUGGGAAACAAAGGGCUAAAGGAGGUAAUUGUAAAUAAAUAAAUCUGAAUAUGGUGGUAAAUGCAGAUUGCACACUUUUGCAUCAGAAUAAGCAUCAAUAAUCUACCAUCAAACUAGGUAUGAAGAUUAGUUAGAAGAGUAAGGCAGAUGACAGAAGGCACAGCUUUUGGUACGGUGCAAUUGCUGGUUGAUUUCCAUGCUACUUAAAUCAUAAAUUUUUGAAGAUUAGUUAGUGAUCUCUUAUUCUCUACUCUUUUUUGUUUUUCAAAGCU